rnacentral:rRNA from 1 species
CAGUAGCCACGGUAAUACGUAGGUGGCAAGCGUUGUCCGGAAUUAUUGGGCGUAAAGGGCUCGCAGGCGGUUUAUUAAGUCUGAUGUGAAAGCCCCCGGCUCAACCGGGGAGGAUCAUUGGAAACUGGGAAACUUGAGUGCAGAAGAGGAGAGUGGAAUUCCACGUGUAGCGGUGAAAUGCGUAGAGAUGUGGAGGAACACCAGUGGCGAAGGCGACUCUCUGGUCUGUAACUGACGCUGAGGAGCGAAAGCGUGGGGAGCGAACAGGAUUAGAUACCCCAGUAGUCCCUGUCUCUUAUAC